rnacentral:rRNA from 1 species
AGCGAACGCUGGCGGCAUGCUUAACACAUGCAAGUCGCACGGUUAGGCUUCGGCCUGAUAGUGGCGGACGGGUGAGUAGCGCGUAGGGAUCUAUCCAUGGGUGUGGGAUAACUGCGGGAAACUGUGGCUAAUACUGCAUGAAGCCUGAGGGCCAAAGGUGUGAGAGCACUGCCUGUGGAGGAGCCUGCGUUCGAUUAGCUUGUUGGUGGGGUAAUGGCCUACCAAGGCGAUGAUCGAUAGCUGGUCUGAGAGGAUGAUCAGCCACACUGGGACUGAG